CAGACCUCAAACCUUCCUUAGGCCAAAUGGAACCCAAAGUCUCACAUGGCCAAAAUCUCAUUUGAGGCAGUCCUUGGUCUCUUGUUAGGUGGUAAGAGAUGUAUCACCUAGAAUAAACCAACAACAAAUGAACUGUGAUAUCUUCACUCAAGAUAUUUACACCUCAAGGGAGAAAACAGAACGAAUGGAACAAACCAGGGCAAGGAAAGAAACGUGGUCAGAGAACUGAUGAGAAACUGGUCUACCUUUCCUCCUGCAGGUCUCUGCAUUAGCUUCAGGCCCUGGAGAAAUUCUUGUGGAGAAUGGGCAGGAGAAAACUUUGUUUACUGACAGACAGCAACCACAGCCGAAGGUACCCAAUCCUAAGAAAUUGCAGUAGAUCUGAACAAAGUGGGGUGAGUCAUUCAUGCAGCUGACUCCUAGAUUGUGUGUGUUUGAAGAUGCAGCCAGGAAGCCCAGAGACUUUUCUGAUGCUUCAUCCACCAUGACGGCAAAAUGCCGGCCAGGUCAUUACUGACCUACGGGGCAGCCUGUGCACACUGCUGUCAGUGAAGGUGCCCUGAAGUUGGACCCAGGCAGUGCCGACUUAGGUGAUGCCCAACAGUGGUCAUGUUUUAAUAUCCCUUCCUUUUUAUGACAACACUAUUUUCCGUAUACUCCUGUAGUAUUUGGUAAUCAGCAUUAUUUGUCUACAAGCAAACAAUAAUUAAGAAGAAUAAAUGUUAAUUUCUAAAACAUUAUUCAAAUUCAAUGAACUAUUUCAUGAAUGAACUG
rnacentral:lncRNA from 1 species